rnacentral:snRNA from 1 species
CAUUUUUGUUCAACUCUGUAAGUGAUUUGAUUUUGAAACAAUAGAGAGAUUAGCAUGGUCUUUAUACAAGGAUGACAUGCAAAUUAAUGAAGUUGUUCACUUUCUU